rnacentral:rRNA from 1 species
AUGCCUUACACAUGCAAGUCGAACGGCAGCACGGGAGCAAUCCUGGUGGCGAGUGGCGAACGGGUGAGUAAUAUAUCGGAACGUGCCCAGUCGUGGGGGAUAACGCAGCGAAAGCUGUGCUAAUACCGCAUACGAUCUACGGAUGAAAGCGGGGGAUCGCAAGACCUCGCGCGAUUGGAGCGGCCGAUAUCAGAUUAGCUAGUUGGUGGGGUAAAAGCCCACCAAGGCGGCGAUCUGUAGCUGGUCUGAGAGGACGACCAGCCACAUUGGAACUGAGACACGGUCCAGACUCCUACGGGAGGCAGCAGUGGGGAAUUUUGGACAAUGGGCGAAAGCCUGAUCCAGCAAUGCCGCGUGCAGGACGAAGGCCUUCGGGUUGUAAACUGCUUUUGUACGGAACGAAACGGUCUCCUCUAAUAAAGGGGGCUAAUGACGGUACCGUAAGAAUAAGCACCGGCUAACUACGUGCCAGCAGCCGCGGUAAUACGUAGGGUGCGAGCGUUAAUCGGAAUUACUGGGCGUAAAGCGUGCGCAGGCGGUUAUAUAAGACAGAUGUGAAAUCCCCGGGCUCAACCUGGGACCUGCAUUUGUGACUGUAUAGCUAGAGUACGGUAGAGGGGGAUGGAACUCCGCGUGUAGCAGUGAAAUGCGUAGAUAUGCGGAGGAACACCGAUGGCGAAGGCAAUCCCCUGGACCUGUACUGACGCUCAUGCACGAAAGCG